rnacentral:rRNA from 1 species
UGACGUUACUGACAGAAGAAGCACCGGCUAACUCCGUGCCAGCAGCCGCGGUAAUACGGAGGGUGCGAGCGUUAAUCGGAAUUACUGGGCGUAAAGCGUACGCAGGCGGUUUGUUAAGCGAGAUGUGAAAGCCCCGGGCUCAACCUGGGAACUGCAUUUCGAACUGGCAAACUAGAGUGUGAUAGAGGGUGGUAGAAUUUCAGGUGUAGCGGUGAAAUGCGUAGAGAUCUGAAGGAAUACCGAUGGCGAAGGCAGCCACCUGGGUCAACACUGACGCUCAUGUACGAAAGCGUGGGGAGCAAACAGGAUUAGAUACCCUGGUAGUCCACGCCGUAAACGAUGUCUACUAGAAGCUCGGAACCUCGGUUCUGUUUUUCAAAGCUAACGCAUUAAGUAGACCGCCUGGGGAGUACGGCCGCAAGGUUAAAACUCAAAUGAAUUGACGG